CCCCACCGGAAUUGUCUCAUGCCGUGAAAACGUGGAUUUCCCGUUGCCGGCGUUUUCUUCCUGACAGGCUUUAUGGGACAGCUCAUGCAACGCGUGUUUGGGGUUUACAGUCCGUCUGUGGUGUAGAUUGGUGUGGCUUCCUGCAUGCCGGAUGGGUCUUCAUCCCGAGUUGUAUUGCUGGCAACGACUGCUUAAUCAUGUCUCACCACAGUUAAAAUUAUUGCUUUCCGUUGGUUAAUAUCCAAAGGGAUGCAACAAAGCGAGGGGCAAGGAAUGAGCCUGGUAGCUGCCAUGUUUUAGAUUGGUUUAAGCGGUGAACACCAACGUCUAUAUUCAAAAAUAGGGGCAAACGCUCUUCAAUGGAAUUCAAGAACAUACCCUCCCAAUAAUACUGCCCUGAUAUGGUACAGGACUGAGUUCAAUGCACCAAAAGGAAACAAUGCAGUGGCUUUGGACCUGAACACCAUGAGUAAAGGCCAAGCAUGGGUAAAUGGCCAUCAUAUUGGGCGCUAUUUUCCUUCAUUCAAGGCUCCUACAGAUGGGUGCUCCGAUACAUGUGAUUACAGAGGAACCUAUUCUCCAACCAACUGCGUCACGGUUGUGGAAAAUCAUCUCAAGAAUGGUACCAUGUCCCUCGCUCCUGGUUACACCCCACAAACAAUGUAUUAGUAUUACUUGAGGAAAUUGGUGGCGACCCAUCUGGAAUUGGUGGCGAGAAGAGCCCUGAACUUGAUGCUGUCAGCUGUUCUUCUCUCAUCAGUGGUCAGAUAAAGGGAAGUUCUCUGUUAAAACAAUUUCCUUAACAAAUCUGGCGCGAAGCAACCGCGAGGGUUAAUUGAAGCGUACGGAAUACAAGGCUAGAAAGACUUUUCCAGCAUUGCUCCAAAGAAGAUGCCCAGAACCCAAGGCAGGAGGAAGAGACCCAGACCCAGAUCUAGACGGAAGUACGGUGCCUUUUUUAAUCAGAAGCAGCUAUGCUCGCAACAGAUUGUAGACGGAAGUACGGUGCCUUUUUUAAUCAGAAGCAGCUAUGCUCGCAACAGAUUGUAGAGGCCGAAAUAGGGCAUUUCGAAAUAGUUUUGAAGAUAUUAAAUUUAAAUUAAGUUUGGUUUUUAUGUUGAGAGUCGUUUACAAUGAUAUCAAAAAUGUUCGCAAAAAUGUUCGUAAAAAAAAAAUUCAUUUUUGAAAUAAUUUGACAUACAAAAGAGGGUAAAUAUGUCAUGUUUCAGUUUCUGUGGAGGUAUUAUUUUAUUACUCCAAAUAAAAUAGAACCCUCGCCUCUUGUGUCCAACUAGAUUCACAUUUUUGCACGCAGGACUGUAAUGGA